UAUCCGCGAAUUAAUGACUCGUUUGAGUCGUUUCCUUACAACGUAUUACAAAUGAAUGAGUCUUUUGAGUCGAUUCUUUACAAAACAAACUGUCAAAAGUUUUGAAUUGGUUCGCGAAUCAGUUUAAAUGAAUUGUUCAGAUCGCUUCAAAAACUGAAUCAUCUGGUGCGGUUUCAUCAAGAAACACGCAGAACACAGUGUAGGAUGACGUGAAUACUUGAAGCAAAACUUCACACGUGUAUCCGCCAUUAUAUAUGCGCGACCUGUUUGCAGUCAGACAUAGUUACACGUGCGCAACCUCCGAAAUACUGUACACGUGACUGUACAACAGAAUGACGAAAAUCGAUCGAUGCUUGUCUCGCUGUAUACUGUACUGUAUGUUGUAAUUGCUUCUUACAACAACAUGAGAUACUCAACAUAAGAAAACAUGAGUUUGGUCUAAAAUCGUUUCACACUGUGCCCUUCAUAUGGGACCAUACAGACAAAGUGUUUCCGUUUGCUGUGGAAACGAGAAAUUGGAAAGAUGAAUAUCAGAAUGUCAGAAGUAGGAAACUUGAAAAAAAUGCCCUAACAAACAAAAUAACAAGAAGAGAGGCAGAAAAGGCUGUGUCAAAGUGGCUAAUUGGUGCCGGGAAAUAGGAGGGAAUCGCACCGCAAGGGCACAUGUUGGAGAACAAAUGGGGGCCGUUGGGACAGCGACAACAUAGGAGUGAGGAGCUGCAGUAAUGUUGUCUUGUUUGUGAAAACCUUUAUUUUAGAUUUUUCUGAUAUGCAUAUAUAAAAACAAGUUUUUCCAAAUAAAGUUUAACAAGAGUGAAUUAAAGCGUUAGUCCAUCAAAAAAAUGAAAAAUCUGUAAUUAAUUACUUUUCCUCAUGUCUUUCCACACAAGGCAAAACCUUGGAAUGACAUGAGGGUAACUAAUUAAUGAGAGAAAUUUAAAUUUUGGAUAAACAUAACCCUGUAAAUGUAACU